rnacentral:rRNA from 1 species
GAUGAACGCUAGCUACAGGCUUAACACAUGCAAGUCGAGGGACCGGCGCGCGGGUGAGUAACACGUAUCCCACCUGCCCUUUACUCGGGGAUAGCCUUUCGAAAGAAAGAUUAAUACCCGAUGUAAAGGAUGGGGAUGCGUUCCAUUAGGUUGUUGGUGAGGUAACGGCUAACAAAGCCUUCGAUGGCUAGUGGUUCUGAGAGGAAGCUCCCCCGCAUUGGAACUGAGACCCGGUCCAAACUCCGACGCGAGGUAGCAGUGAGGAACAUUGGUGAAUGGGCGUUAGCCUGACCCAGCCAAGUAGCGUGAAGGAUGAAGGCUUAUGGGUCGUAAACUUCUUUUAUAUAAGAAUAUGUAUUAUAUGAAUAAGGAUCGGCUAACUCCGUGCCAGCAGCCGCGGUAAUUC